rnacentral:rRNA from 1 species
GACGAACGCUGGCGGCGUGCUUAACACAUGCAAGUCGAACGGAAAGGCCCCUUCGGGGGUACUCGAGUGGCGAACGGGUGAGUAACACGUGAGUAACCUGCCCUUGACUCCGGGAUAACUUCAGGAAACUGGGGCUAAUACCGGAUAGGAAUCCUUGCUGCAUGGUGGGGGUUGGAAAGCUUCGGCGGUUUUGGAUGGACUCGCGGCUUAUCAGCUUGUUGGUGGGGUAGUGGCUUACCAAGGCUUUGACGGGUAGCCGGCCUGAGAGGGCGACCGGCCACAUUGGGACUGAGAUACGGCCCAGACUCCUACGGGAGGCAGCAGUGGGGAAUAUUGCACAAUGGGCGGAAGCCUGAUGCAGCAACGCCGCGUGCGGGAUGACGGCCUUCGGGUUGUAAACCGCUUUCAGCAGGGGCGAAGCUUGUGGUGACGGUACCUGCAGAAGAAGCACCGGCUAACUACGUG